rnacentral:rRNA from 1 species
AACGAACGCUGGCGGCGCGCCUAACACAUGCAAGUCGAACGAGAAGGCGUAGCAAUACGCUUGUAGAGUGGCGAACGGGUGAGUAAUACGUGGGUGACCUACCCUCGAGUGGGGAAUAACCCGCCGAAAGGCGGGCUAAUGCCGCGUACGCUUCCGUCCUCACGGGGACGGAAGGAAAGCUGUACCGUGGGUACGGCGCUCAAGGAUGGGCUCACGUCCUAUCAGCUUGUUGGUAGGGUAACGGCCUACCAAGGCUACGACGGGUAGCUGGUCUGAGAGGACGAUCAGCCACGCUGGCACUGCGACACGGGCCAGACUCCUACGGGAGGCAGCAGUGAGGAAUAUUGCGCAAUGGGCGAAAGCCUGACGCAGCGACGCCGCGUGGGGA